rfam:Cucumis sativus cultivar 9930 chromosome 3, whole genome shotgun sequence.
GUUUUAUUAACGUCUUCCCAAGAAUAAAGACAGAAUUUUAAUGCUUGCACUCUUCUUUGUUUGGUGUGCAAGUUUGGCUUUUCUGUUACAUUU